GGCGGCUGCAGCGUCAGUGGAGUGAAGAGACUCCUCAUCUGUUUUUACGCCAUUGCCCGUUGCCAGCAACUUUGCUCGGCAACAUUGCCCAAAAAGUUGCCCCGUGUAUCAUCACCAUAAGGCUUCUGGUGGGGAGAGUCAACCUACCCCCGCCUGCCCUCCCUAUCUCGUACUUCUGAAUAUGAGACCAGGAAGAAACCUGCCCAGCUCACAAACUAGAAUCAGGGCGCUAUUCUGACAAGAUAAUUGACCCACACGGUGAUAUGAUAUCACUGACAUGACACUUAAAUGAGUAAUAGAAACCUGCUUGAGCACAUGGCACUGUUCUGAUUUUUUUUUUUGUGCAGGCGCCCUGUGCCACCCUCAACAUGAUGCUGACCUGGGUGGCUGCCCAUGUCACCCAUCCCUAAAUCUGCCACUGGAGUGUUCUCUGUUCUCCUUGGGAUGGAUGGGUCAUAUUGGCAGAGCAAAUUUUGCAUCAUAAUAAGUUCUUUUUUUAUUGAUGGAUAUUGUGGUAGUGAUGGAGAGCUCAACAAAAUUUGCAGAAACAAACUAAUACCAUGGUCACAGCUGGAUAUUCUAUCUUGCUGUUUCAGUUGGUUGGCACAAAAUCUGAAUAUCAAAUGAAUUAUAUGGAUUAACACUUUGUGUGUGUGUAUGUGUGUGUGUGUUUAUCCAAACAUACACACACACAUGGUAACGUGUAUUUUUAUCCAAACUGGCCAAACAUUGGACAUUAUUCAAGUUGGGCAAUCUUCACUUACUGUACUUUAUUUGGCUCAUGAGAAUUCAUUAAGCAUAUGUGUGGUGGCAGCAAAGCUGAAACGACAAAUGAGGUAUUGCCCAAAUAUUGCUAAUAUUUUGUCAAGGGAGCAAACACUGUACAAUAUUUAGAGUCAUUUGAGAUCAAAUUACAGCACUUAUGUACUUUCUGCUGAGUAUUCGCCUACGCUGGGAUGAGAAAAAUAUAUAAUUUUAAGUUGCUGUGAGCAGGAGUGUUUAUAUCGGUAGGUGGGGAGUUUGGUUCAUGCUACAACAAUUUGAAAAGCAUAAACAAACAGCUUGUAGAAACACUUUUUCUGUAAGAGAAAUAUGCAGCAGCAGGGGCACAUUUCACAAUUUUAUAGGGGGUGGAUACAAUGAUGAUACAUGGAUAAAUGGUUUUGCUUAUUAUGUUCUCUUUAUGACAACUUUAAUGAAUGUGGUAUGUUGACCACAAGGGUUUAUAAUGAUUGAAGUCAGAUGUAGAGAGUGUUAGAGCUUUAGGCUUUUUAAGGGGAGCAGAGGCGCUAUCAGUGAUUAGAAACCAAUAAAGGUGCCUUCAGAGAGGCAGAUUGACAAGGUGUCGUCUCAGAGAUCUAUGGGUGUCCAGGCACUGAGGGGCAAAUAUGCAGCCCUUUUCCUGCCUGUAAGCACUGAUAGCUUAUCUCCAGAGUAGGCAUGCGCGUAUACACACACACACACACACACACGCACACACACACAUGCACACACACUUACUUUCUGGAAACUCCCUUGAAUUCUGAAUGUGUGCAAUCUCCCUGCCUGUUCUCAUCCACCACUUUUAAGCUGCAUCUGUCCUCCACAGCCAUUAAUCCCCUUUUCUUUAUCUCUUUUUUCUCUUCUGUGUGUGUAUGUGUACCUGUGGUUCGCUGAGCAAACGGACAUGAACUCCAUGGUGGCUAAACAGAGACCUCUUCACAACACCCCUGUGCUGAAAGUGAUAAUAGUCCCCAAACACCUCUCCUCACCGGACGACCCUGCAGUCUACAUCAGGAAUAACCUAACUCUGACAAACGCCUUAGCAGAAGAUGGAUGGCUCUGUGUGUGUUUGUGUAUAUGUAGGCCUAUAACAAAUCUGCUUACAUAGCACAACUCUUAUUUUACCUCUGUGUGUGUGUGUUCAUGUAUAUGCAGACUUUCCACCAAAGUCAUGGUGUGAUGUAUGAUGCAGAAUUUGCAAAAAAUACUACUGUCAUACAGCUAUCCAUCUAUUUUUUCUUCUCACCUGUACCUACAUGUAACGAAGCUGCCUUACUAACAUUGAAGCCAAUUACCAUAGAUCAUUGUUUUUGUGUAAUGUGAAGGCUGAGGCUGUUAAAACUGUGCUCGUGUGCAUCAGUGUGGAAACAAUGUGGCUUACUAUAGUUUCAGAAGCCAAGUCAGUUUAUUUGUGUAGCGCUUUUAACAACAGACAUUGUCACAAAGUAGCUUUACAGAAACAUAGAGACUAAACAUAUGAACUAAUUUUAUCUCUAAUACAUUUAUUUAUCCCUCAUGAGCAAGCCUGAGGCUACGGUGGCAAGGAAAAACUCCCUCAGAUGACACGAGGAAGAAACCUUGAGAGGAACCAGACUCAAAAGGGAACCCAUCCUCAUUUGGGUGAUAACAGAUAGCGUGAUUAUAAAUAACUUGCUUCUAUAACUGUGUCUGAUAUAGUCACAAAGUAUUAUCAUGUAACCAGGAAAUUCAUUAUAAUUUUAGCAUGAAGUCUAUUUUGUUGAAGUUAUCAACUGUUCAUUAAUGGAGACUUAAGUGCAAAAUUGUUCAUGACUAUGGCAGUCCUCAAGUUAUCAUGGCAACUGUAGUCCUAAACCAUCAUAGCAAAACUGUAAGUGUCCAGAUCCAUCUUCUAAGUGUAUCUUUCGAAUGUCCAUAUGGGGCUGUCCUCCACAGGAGCAAUGUGAUGAGAGUCCAGCCAGAAGUAGGGCAUUAGGAUGGAUCAGGUAGGUCCAAACAGCAAGAGAAGGCAGCAUCACUGGUAUCUCAGGAUUGAUGUGUAACUCAACAGAGAGAGACAGACAGAGGGAGAGAGAGAGAGAGAGAGAGAGAUCACAGAUUGUUAGGUAUGCCUGUUGUUACCUAAUGGUUAAUGUACACCUACAGUGGCGCUUGAAAGUUUGUGAACCCUUUAGAAUUUUCUAUAUUUCUGCAUAAAUAUGACCAAGAACAUCAUCAGAUUUUCACACAAGUCCUAAAAGUAGAUAAAGA